rnacentral:lncRNA from 11 species
UGGCUCUUUAAAUUAAGGAAGUUAAACAACCCAUCUGUUCCGGGAUGGAUGAGGCUCCAUCAGGUCAGAGCUGAAUGACAGAGGUUGUCUGGAUGACCAAAUGAUGGGUGAUAAAAUCUCUACAUAAGGAGACCCUUUUCCUUAUCGAGUGUGAGUCAAAUCUGGACGUCAGGCCACCUGCUACUCUUGUCCCAACAGCAGACAGAUGGAUAAACAUCCACAGGUCUUUCGGCCGCUCCUCGGAGGGACUACUCACCGCCAUGAUCAGACCUUCGAUCAUUUUAGUUGCCCUCCUCCGGACACUUGCCAGCUUGCCAAGAAACCUAAUGAAUUGUGGGCCCCAGCAUUGAAAGCGCUAGUCCAGGUGAGGU